rnacentral:rRNA from 1 species
UACGUAGGGGGCUAGCGUUGUCCGGAUUUAUUGGGCGUAAAGAGCGUGUAGGCGGCCAGAUAGGUCUGCUGUGAAACUCGAGGCUCAACCUCGAGAUGUCGGCGGAAACCAUUUGGCUAGAGUCCGGAAGAGGAGAGUGGAAUUCCUGGUGUAGCGGUGAAAUGCGCAGAUAUCAGGAAGAACACCAAUGGCGAAAGCAGCUCUCUGGGACGGUACUGACGCUGAGACGCGAAAGCGUGGGGAGCGAACAGG